CGCACACCAGGAAAUGAGGGAAUGUGACCUUGGCUGAGUCCCUCCCUCUGGCGACCAUAUGUCAUCACUCCAUCUACAACAGCGGAGAGAGAGAGAGAGAAAGAGAGAGAGAGAGAGAAAGUACCACUCUGUUCCAUCCAUCACUCCGCACCUCUUCAUCAUCUGCCUCUUCUUCUCCCCCGUUCCCAAACAAUAACUGCAGCCCACACACACCAUUACAGCGCCCUGUUUAUGGGCACAGGACAACUCAACAUUACGUUAACGAGGUCCUACUUUUCCUGAAUGCACUAAUCCAGCAGGACAAUGC
rnacentral:lncRNA from 1 species